AAGCUCAUAUCGCUUCUUUAAUCGCAUUUUUUUGCACAGUACAUUAUGGCCUAGUUCAAGUGCUGUGACUUUCGUCUGUAUUAGAGUAUGCGGUAGGGCGGCAAUGCUUGUAAUAGACGAGAAACGAACAGGGUUAAUCGAUUGUUUAACUUUUCUCAAAUUAUAGAUUUGCGAAUUUCAAUUGUUUCCAGUCUGUAAUGUUUCAUGGUUUCUAGAGAAUUCUCUAUCAACAUACAGUACUGCUUUCUAUGAAUUUGUCAGAUAUCGAUGACGUAAUGUAUUAUGAUUAUCUGCGAAUUGCUGAAUGCCCGUUUUACUAUAUUUUUACAAGUAGG